AGCCGGGCCCGACGUGGGAGAGUUUCCCGUCCUCCUCCUCCGCGCUGCAACAGAGAGCGACUCCACCAUGAAGGCCGCCCUGCUCCUCACCGUCACCCUCGCCUUCGUCCUCCUCCUGGCCGGGAUGGAGUCCACGCUGGCCCAGGGGAACACCACCAGUGUAGCAACCUCACUGAGCAGUCCCAGCGGCUGCCUUCUGCUCCUGGCCCCCGGCCUCGCCCACCUCCUGCAGCGUCUCUGAGCUCCCGCGCCGCCCACCCCCGCUUCCCCGAGCCCAGCAACAACUGCGACCCACGCCCACUCUGGAGCCGCGGCCCACCCCCACGACUCCGGCCGGCCGAGAUCCACUCUCCCUUCAGACCCCAGGGGGACGGGGCCUCGACGCACCGGAGAGCGACGCUUAUCGCAGGGAAAUGGGGGCCAUCUCUUUUACAUUGACUGACCCACCCUCCCACUGAACGCCCACCCCCACUGGAGGGGCGGGUGCAGGGGGAUGGACACGAGGGAAAGAAGUCAGUUGGAAUAAAGAGAAAAAUCCCCAUCCCCUC